UACGGGGGGGGCAAGCGUUGUUCGGAAUUACUGGGCGUAAAGCGUGCGCAGGCGGUUGUGCAAGACAGAUGUGAAAUCCCCGGGCUUAACCUGGGAACUGCAUUUGUGACUGCACGGCUAGAGUGUGUCAGAGGGGGGUAGAAUUCACGGUGUAGCAGUGAAAUGCGUAGAGAUCGUGAGGAAGACCAGUGGCGAAGGCGGUUCUCUGGGCCUUACCUGACGCUGAGGAGCGAAAGCAUGGGGAGCAAACAGG
rnacentral:rRNA from 1 species